CCUACGGGCGGCAGCAGUGAGGAAUAUUGGUCAAUGGGCGUAAGCCUGAACCAGCCAAGUCGCGUGAGGGAUGAAGGUUCUAUGGGUCGUAAACCUCUUUUAUAAGGGAAUAAAGUGCGGGUCGUUUCCCGUUUUGUCUGUACCUUAUGAAUAAGGAUCGGCUAACUCUGUGCCAGCAGCCGCGGUAAUACAGGGGAUCCGAGCGUUAUCCGGAGUGAUGGGGUUUAAGGGGUGCGUAGGUGGGCUGUUAAGUCAGCGGGGAAAGGCUGUGGCUCAAACAUAGCAUGGCAUUUGAAACUGGGAGGAUGGAGUACGGUGGAGGCAGGAGGAAUGCGGGGUGUAGAGGUGAAAUGCGUAGAUAUCAGGAAGAACACCGAUUGCGAAGGCAGCCUGACAAGCUACGACUGACGCUGAUGCACGAAAGCGUGGGGAUCAAACAGGAUUAGAUACCCUUGUAGUC
rnacentral:rRNA from 1 species